rnacentral:rRNA from 1 species
AACGAACGCUGGCGGCAGGCCUAACACAUGCAAGUCGAACGCCCUAGCAAUAGGGAGUGGCAGACGGGUGAGUAACACGUGGGAACCUUCCCUAUAGUACGGAAUAUACCAGGGAAACUUGGAGCAAUACCGUAUACGCCCGAGAGGGGAAAGAUUUAUCGCUAUAGGAUGGGCCCGCGUAGGAUUAGCUAGUUGGUGAGGUAAUGGCUCACCAAGGCGACGAUCCUUAGCUGGUUUGAGAGAACGACCAGCCACACUGGGACUGAGACACGGCCCAGACUCCUACGGGAGGCAGCAGUGGGGAAUAUUGGGACAAUGGGCGCAAGCCUGAUCCAGCCAUGCCGCGUGAGUGAUGAAGGCCUUAGGGUUGUAAAGCUCUUUUGCCGGGACGAUAAUGACGGUACCCGGAGAAUAAGUCCCGGCUAACUUCGUGCCAGCAGCCGCCGU